ACAAUGCUGCAACUGUAAUUAACAUCUCAAGCAGAUGUAAAUUUCUCAAUCAGAUGAUGUGGAAUUGUUGUUUUUCCUUCCAAAGCAAAAGUUUUUCGUUUUUAAUUUCUGGAAGUUGCUCGCUAUUCUUUCUUCGGUGUUCGUAACUCUCCUCUCCAUUAUGCUGCCGCCCAGUGCCACCACGAAGUAUCCCAGUUUGUAAGAUCUCAGAGAUUUUAACAAGUUUUGACUUUAUGGUUAUAGCUCUGUACAAACGACUUUGGUGCAGGCUUGCCAACAUGGUCAUUUGGAGGUCGUUUGAUUCUCAUUCGUUUUGGUGCUAAUUCUCGCUGCUCUAUGUUGAUGCUAUCUGCUAGACGAAUGCCGCUUAAUAAUAUUAAUUAAAGAGGAGCUAUAGUGGAAGAUAAGAUCAAGAAGAACAAGACCAAGAACAGAGCAGUCCAUCUAUAUGUUGAGCUCUGCGAAUACACAGAACAAAUCAGAAAGACAAGACAUGGUCCUUUUCUAGAAGCUAAUCUGCUGUUGCGUGUUAUGGAUGGCUGGUGGUCACAGCUCAGAGGCUUCGUCUUACAUUUUAUCACUUUUUCAGAAUCUCAGGAACUCUAUGUUUUGGAACCACAAUUGGGCAUCACGCUGGUCUAGAAUCGGUGGAGUUCUGGAACUGUUUAGCUAAAGAGACUAAACGAUCUAGAUUUCACAUUUUGCUUAAGAUCAAACAAGGAAACAGAGGUAAUAGUGAUUGUAUUCCUCAUUCAUCAAUUAUUAUCGAGUGUUGUGUAUACUAAAAGUUUUACUUGCUUUCUUUUUGUUCAAUUUUUAAUUUUUUUAACGACUUCUACUAUAUUAUUCAUUAUUCUAUUGGUUAUUUGCUACUCAAUGCCAGUAGGCAGUAGCCAUAUCCGUUUGUUUCAUAAUAUAAUGACUCCUAACACUUCUUUCUAACUGAUUUUGUAUUUUGUAUUUAUUUCAUCACAAAACUUCUAUAAAUGUUUUAUAAAUGAUUCUUAAGUAUUUAGACCAUUCUCAAUGAUACACAAAAAAAAAUAAUCUAGAAUUCAUUCUAAAAUAGAGUAAGUCUAUUAUAGAGUUGGAUUUGCUCCAAUGGUUCACUCUAUAAUAGAGUUACUCUAUAAUAUAGUGGAUUAUAAAUUAAUGUUAUUUUUUGUAUCAUUGGAGUUAAUUAGGAGAAUUUAGUUUAGUCUUAUUUUGUCUUAUUUUUUAUCAUAGAUUUGAGUUAAUUAUGAAAAUUGUUAUUUUUAACAAAAAAAAUUAGAAAGUGUAUCAAACUUAUGGUAAUAUUAGAAAUCCCCUAAUUUAAUAACAUUUAAAUAUGUAAUAUGAGCGUUUGUAUAUGAACAAUUUAAUAUAUAUCAUACAUUAGAAGGCACAUUGUCCUAUUUUGGUUGUUUUAAGUAUCUUACAAACAUUUGUAUUAUUUUAAUACAAAAAAAACUAACUAGAUGCAAAAUCACAACCCAAAUCUUAAUUAUUAUUUUUAACAAAAAUAUUAUUUCGAUUUAUAUUUAAUAAUCUAUUGCGAUUGUACCAUACAAGAUAUUUCUUAACAUGUAUUUUUUUCUUAAUGGGGAGAAUUCACGUAUCAGGAUACAAAAAUAUAUAAGACCAUCAUUAAUUUUAGUCUUCUAACUGGGGUUCUUACCUUUUUCUUAGAUUUUAAUUAAAAAAAAAACUAAGAACCGUCUCAUAAAUAAGAGAUAGAAGAUCCGUCUCUUACCCGAAAAUUGUUAAAAAAACACAAAAAAUGUCAAAUCAUGAGUUAAGAACUCCGGUAAGAGAUCAUGAUUAAUCAUGCCAUAACCAACGCUUUGUAUCUAAUAUCUAUAAUGUCUUUAAUUUUCAUUCUUGGAAAAUCGAUGUUGAAAAAUAGGAACCUCAUGAAAACUAAUAACAUUUAAGAAAAUGAGAUUUAGCAGAGAACGACAUAUAGAAAAUAAUAUUUAGUAGAGAUAUUUAGUCUUCAUAACAUAAGAACCUCAUGAAGUGUUUGAUUGGUAGAAGCUAUAGAUUUAAUUACUUUGCUUUAGAAUAUAAAAUGUAAGUCUUUCUAUUGUAGCUAUAUAAUCUAUUGAUAUAGAUUUAUAUCAAUAACUUUCAAAUAACUUUGCUCAAAAAAACUUUCAAAUAACAAAAUAUAAAAUUUAAGAAAAAAAAUUGAUUUUCAAAACCAAUAUAAUUUUUAAUUUAACUUUUGAGCUGUAUCUUUAAAUUAUUUUCUUAGAGCAUGGUUAAAUUAAAGUAGAUGUGGAAAAAAAAAUGUGGAAAUCAUUCAGAGUAGUACUUACCAAUCACCUUCGAAAACUAUAGCAUUUUUCUCAACAGUUCUGAAAUUUCAGAAAAAAAUAAGAAAUUAAUUGUUUACUUUAUAUCGAGAUAUCUACAAAACAUAUUUAUUAUAUCCAACAUUUUUAAAAUUGGAAGAAAAAUUUCAACAACCCCACUUUAUUUUUCAUGUAUACUACUUCUAGAAAGAUUAGUUUUUUGGUAAAAGCUUAAACACUUAGCCACUAAUUAUACAAUACGAAUCAGCAAUAUAGAACGAACAGAGGAGUUAUAAAAUCAAAAUUUUAAAUGAUUAAAUUUUUAACCUAUUUUUUACUAUGGCAAUGUUUUAAAUAACAUAUUUUUAUCAUUAUUUACGUUUUGCAUUCUAAUAAGUUGUAAUUAUUUUAGUAAUUUAUAUUUAUCAUAGUUCCAAUAUAUACUAUAUAUUUAUAUAAGAACAUAAUAUUUUAAAAAUAAAACAAAAAUUAUGAAAAUAAACCCGGGCGUAGCCCGGGAAAAGCUCUAGUAAAUGUAACACUAGAUAAUAUUUAGUACUAAUAAAAGAUGAAAUAUUUUGAAAUACUUGACAACUGAAUAAAACUGAUGCCCGAAAUAAAGCUGACAAAUGUUCUAAUCGUUAUAUGCAUCUAAAUUAAUCCCAUACAUUAUGCUUUGAAUGUUAUUAAGUUUCAUAUUAAAUUUGUUUUUUCUAAAGGCUUUAUUAUUAAAAAAAGUUGAGCUUUUUUGUUAGAUAAGAAAAGUGUAGAAAAACAUAAAAUUGUUUAAUAAAUUACUAGCUACCACUUGAGCAGAUAUUCAAAUUUUAUACCCCUCCUUUUCGUAAAUAAUAUCACUUCGACAUUUUUCACACAAAUUAAAAAAAUAGUUUAAUAAAUUUAAAUUUUUAUUACUCACACAUGUUCAACCAAUAGUAUUUGAGAUAAAUAAAAUUAUUUAUAAAAUUAAUGCAUUUGUAACUAAUAAUAAUUUGAAAAUUGAUUUGAAAUUCUAAAAUGACACUCUUUUUGUAACAAGAAAUAAUGUUAAAGUAACACUCUUUUAAAAACAGAGGGAAUAUUAUAUUCAGUAUAUAUACAUUUAAAAAAAUUUAAAUUAAUUAUUUUAAAAUUUAUAUUUAUAAAACACGAUAUAAACUAAUAAAGUUUACUAGUUUCGAAUUGAACAUAUUCAAAAUACGACACAAUUAAUCAGAUAAUAAAAUAACAAAAAUAAAAUUUAUGAAAAUAUAUUAUUCCAUUAAAUUCAUAAAUCAUGUACACCAAAUAAUCUUAUAAAAUUAUUAUGAAAAAAAAAAGAUUUAUAAAAUUGAAAUAAUCUAUAAACCAUGAAAACAAUUAUUUACAUAAAACAGAUUUUUUUUCCCCCAAAUUGAUAUUCAUUCAUACGCCAAAAGGCCAAUAUUCAUACAAAAGUUGACGGCAAAACGAAAUAGCCCCAACAC